UGGGGAAUAUUGCGCAAUGGGCGAAAGCCUGACGCAGCAACGCCGCGUGAGUGAUGAAGGCCUUCGGGUCGUAAAGCUCUGUCGGAGGGAACGAAUGCUCUUGAGGUUAACAGCCUCGGGAGGUGACGGUACCCUCAAAGGAAGCACCGGCUAACUCUGUGCCAGCAGCCGCGGUAAUACAGAGGGUGCAAGCGUUGUUCGGAAUCAUUGGGCUUAAAGGGCGCGUAGGCGGCCGAGCGGGUCGUGGGUGAAAUCCUCCAGCUUAACUGGAGAACUGCUUACGAUACCACUGCGGCUCGAGGAAGGAAGGGGUCAUGGGAACUGUCGGUGGAGCGGUGAAAUGCGUUGAUAUCGACAGGAACGCCUGUGGCGAAAGCGCAUGACUGGUCCUUUUCUGACGCUGAGGCGCGAAAGCCAGGGGAGCAAACGGGAUUAGAUACCCGUGUAGUCCCUGAGCGGGCUGGCAAGGCGCAU
rnacentral:rRNA from 1 species